CAUAGGAAUCUGCCCGGUAGUGGGGGAUAACCUGGGGAAACCCAGGCUAAUACCGCAUACGUCCUACGGGAGAAAGCAGGGGAUCUUCGGACCUUGCGCUAUCGGAUGAGCCUAUGUCGGAUUAGCUUGUUGGUGAGGUAAUGGCUCACCAAGGCGACGAUCCGUAGCUGGUCUGAGAGGAUGAUCAGCCACAUCGGGACUGAGACACGGCCCGAACUCCUACGGGAGGCAGCAGUGGGGAAUAUUGGACAAUGGGCGAAAGCCUGAUCCAGCCAUGCCGCGUGUGUGAAGAAGGCUUUCGGGUUGUAAAGCACUUUCAGUGAGGAAGAAGGCCUUGGGGCUAAUACCCCCGAGGAAGGACAUCACUCACAGAAGAAGCACCGGCUAACUCCGUGCCAGCAGCCGCGGUAAUACGGAGGGUGCGAGCGUUAAUCGGAAUUACUGGGCGUAAAGCGCGCGUAGGCGGCGUGAUAAGCCGGUUGUGAAAGCCCCGGGCUCAACCUGGGAACGGCAUCCGGAACUGUCAGGCUAGAGUGCAGGAGAGGAAGGUAGAAUUCCCG
rnacentral:rRNA from 1 species